UCAGAUUGAACGCUGGCGGCAGGCUUUUACACUUUUAAAAUUUGGGACGUGACAUAUAGCUUGCUAGAUAUGAUCAGUGCACGACGAGUGAGUAACAUUUAUGCAUCUGCCUAGUAGGGGGGGAUAGCUAGGGGAAACUAGAAUUCCUACUGCAUACAACAUACGUGGGAAAGGGGGAGCAAGCUCGUGCUAUCAGAUGAGCCUAAAUCAGAUUAGCUAGUUGAUCAGGUAAAGUCCCACCAGGUAGACGAUGGGGUAAUGGUCUGACAGGAUGAUCAGUCACACCGGAUUUGAGACACGGUCCGGACUCAUACGGGAGGCAGCAGUGGGGAAUAUCGGACAAUGGGGGCCACCGGGAUCCAGCCACAAUGGGGGCAGAAGAAGGCCUUUUGGUUGUAAAGCACUUUAAGCACGGAGGAGAGGCUAAUGGUUAAUACCCAUUAGAUUAGACGUUACCUGCAGAAUAAGCACCCGGCUAACUCUGUGCCAGCAGCCGCGGUAAUACAGAGGGUGCGAGCGUUUAUCGGAAUUACUGGGCGUAAAAAGAGUGUAGGUGGCUCAUUAAGUCACAUGUGAAAUCCCCCAGCUUUCCCCCGGAACUGCAUGUGAUACUGGUGGUGUUAGGAUAUGUGAGAGGGAAGUAGAAUUCCAGGUGGAGCGGUGAAAAUUGUAGAGAUCUGGAGGAAUACCCAGGGCGAAGCAGCUUCCUGGCAUAAUAUUGACAGUGAGAUUGGAAAGCGUGGGUAGCAAACAGGAUUAGAUACCCCGGUAGUCCACGCCGAAACGAUUAAACCAGUCGUUGGGUCCCUGAGACUUUAGUGGCGCAGUUAACGCGAUAAGCAGUCCGCCUGGAGACUCAACUGU
rnacentral:rRNA from 2 species